rnacentral:lncRNA from 1 species
AUCCUCCGGUGUGAACUUCUCCCAGGGCUGUUGAUGCUUCAUCUACUCUUCUGGCAGUGGGGGCCUGGACCUUAGUUACCCGGGGAGCGUGAGUCAUGUUGCACAGUUGAGCUGGCACAUAAAACUGCGAGGUAGGGAACGAUUCAGGUAUAAGGUACUUUGGGGAUAGAAACAUUUUCUAUGAAAGAUACAAAUGGCUCUGUGAAGACUGAGGGAGGCUGGGGACACUGAACAGGUCCACUGUGAAAAAGGAUUGGUCAUGCACAUUGGAAAUGCCUCAAAGGACACUCCAGGAAAGAGGAGGGUAGAGCAAACACUGAAAGGUGACAAAUAGCUAUGCAAGAUAAACAGCAGGUGCUGUUGAGUUAGGCUGGUUUAUGGGAGGAGUCAAAACAUUAAGCGUUUGGGGCAGGUUGCAAAGGGUAUGGACGACCAGACAGACAGAGGGUGUGAGUGUUUUCUCUCUGCUCUGUGGGGAGUGUAUAGGAUCUAGAUCAUAAUGUUCACUAGCAGUAUAAUGCAAGACAGACAUGUGAUUGUUUUUAAAUGGUUUGCUUCUAGUUUUUUUUUUAAGGAGGCAAUGAAUCCAUAGUAUACUUACGUAGCCCAAUAUAUACUGUUUCAGAAUGUAGUAUGAAAAUUAUUGAGAUGUCUUCUAUUUUUUUGUUUUAGUACCUUACAUUUAAAACACAACUCCACUAAGGGUAACCUCAUCUUUUAAAAAAGAUUUAUUUAUUCAUUUUAUAUAUGUGAGUAUACUGUCGCUCUCUCUCUCUUCAGUCACACCAGAAGAGGGCAUUGGAUCCCACUAUAGACUGUUGUGAGCCACCUUGUGGUUGCUAGGAAUUGAACUCAGGACCUCUGGAAGAGCAGUUGGUGCUCUUAACUGCUGAGUCAUCUCUCCAGCCCCAGGUAACCUCAUUCUGAUGCUUAGGAUCCACACGUUAGUCGGAGAAUGAUAAGCAUAUUGUGGAGCACAAAAGGGGAAAGGCCCCUUGUGGGUGGGACCAUCUCUGGGCUGGUAGUCUUGGGUUCUAUAAGAGAGCAGGCUGAGCAAGCCAGGGGAAGCAAGCNUCCAGUCCUGACUUCUUUCAGUGAUGAACAGCAAUGUGGAAAUGUGUUCUGCCCAGUUUAUAGAGCAAGGAAUUGAAGCUUGGAGAAGAUUGAUGGACCACUCAAGUUCUCUGGAUGGUCCAGGAUGCAGACUGAGGCUGGCCUAAAACGUUAGUUUUGCUGACUCCCUGUGCUUGGCUAACCUUAGAGCCUCUUACCUUGCCAUAGUCUUUUCUAUGAAGGACAGAGAGCCAAGGAGUGGACCAACAUGCCUGAGUUUACACAGUGGACCUGAGGACCUUCACCUCCCAGUGCAAUGUUCCUGUGUACUGCCACUGAAGAGACAGGUGGGAGGGAGCUCAAGGUUGAUUUGCCUAACAACCAUUGCUUGAAAGACAAAGCUCCCAAGGAGAGCACAAGAUACCUCACUCGAGACUCCUCUGCAUCACCAACCAGUGUGAACAAAGCCUGCAGCUGUCAGCAGAGUAUUCUUUGUCUCGGUGACACGCUGUGCCUACAGUUGGACUAGAAACUUUGGAUUAGGGUGUGAGUCGUGCCCCAUAGGACAGAGGUGGUGCAUGUAGCCUCUUUUUGGAGUUUAUUUAGAGAGGAGAAAGAAUGUACCAUAGUCCCCAAAGGCUCUAGGUUACAGUGAAUUCUCUUUAGUUCAGUUAUAGUUUAGUUUAGCUUGGUUUGGUUAGCUGUGGUUCCGUUCUGUUCUGUUCGGUUCAGUUCGGUUCAGUUGCAGAGUUGUUGCUCUUUCAUGCUUUGUAUUCCAACUCCCUGCUCUCUCUUGGCUUUGGUUCCCAUCAGGUCCAGAAUAAAUGGCAAGGAGAGGGUCAUAG